GGCAGUGUGGCAUAGUGGUUUGAGUGUUGGACUACGACUCUGGAGACCACAGUUCGAUUCCCAACUCGGCUA